rnacentral:ncRNA from 1 species
UGGAACAGGUGUCCUUUGGACUUAAUAGGGAAUUCGGUGUGAAGCCGAAGCGGUCCCGCCACCGUAAGGAAGAGCAAUGCUGUAUGAUGUCACUGGGGAGAUCGUCUCCUUGGGAAGGCGCAGCUGCGCGAUGAUUCCGAGCCGGGAGAACUGCCUGUUU